UGAGGAAUAUUGGGUCAAUGGGCGCGAGCCUGAACCAGCCAAGUAGCGUGCAGGAUGACGGCCCUAUGGGUUGUAAACUGCUUUUAUGCGGGGAUAAAGUUGGGGACGUGUCCCUUUUUGCAGGUACCGCAUGAAUAAGGACCGGCUAAUUCCGUGCCAGCAGCCGCGGUAAUACGGAAGGUCCGGGCGUUAUCCGGAUUUAUUGGGUUUAAAGGGAGCGUAGGCCGGCUUUUAAGCGUGUUGUGAAAUGCCGCGGACUCAACCGUGGCACUGCAGCGCGAACUGGAGGCCUUGAGUGCGCGGGAGGUAGGCGGAAUUCGUGGUGUAGCGGUGAAAUGCUUAGAUAUCACGAAGAACUCC
rnacentral:rRNA from 1 species